rnacentral:rRNA from 1 species
AUGCAGUUCUCGCUUUCCAACAAGCGGACUGCCAAGGAGGCUUGGGACGCCAUCGCCGCAGCACGCAUCGGCAGCGACCGUGCUCGCAAGUCCACCCUGCAGGCACUUCGUAAGGAGUGGGAGAACCUAGGCUUCAAGCCAGGUGAGGACGUUGAUGACUUUGCUCUCCGUCUCAACACUCUGCUGCAGAAGAUGGUGAAGUUUGGCGAUGCCACCUACACCGAGGAGAGAGCUGUCGAGAAGCUUUUUCAGUGCAUUCCCGAGAAGUAUAAGCAGAUGGCUCGCUCGAUCGAGUCGUUGCUGGACCUCUCCACGAUGACGAUCGAGGAGGCGAUAGGUCGACUCAAGGUCGUCGACACCGACGAGCCACAGCCCCCCCGGGGCCCGUCACCACCGGCGGGAAGCUGCUCCUAA